GUCAGAAUGGCAGAGUGGCUAUGCUUCCGGCUGCAACCCGGAAUUAUGUGAGUUCGAUUCUCGCUUCUGACU
rfam:Methanosarcina sp. Ant1 MSANT_contig000208, whole genome shotgun sequence.